UUAGUUUGAGGUGUAAGUGCAAUUGGUGUCCAAUGGUAGUUGUUAACGUGUUGUUCGUGCUAGUAGUGCGCGGCACAGCAUACAGGCACACUGACCUGGUAGUUGAAGCACAUGGGGUACUUGCUGUUCUGGUCCUUGUUACUGCACUCAAGGCCAACAUCCAGGGCUGCACUUGACAUUCUGGCCCAAGCUCUCCAGGCUCCUCUCAGGGUAAUUUGCAGCACGGCACCUGAUGUCCUGUGGCUGGGCGCACAGGUCAAAACCAGCGGCACGGAUGUUUGCAAAGGUCUCAAAGUCUCCAUCCUGGCUCCCAGAGCUUGGGAAAUCCACAUCAAACCAUUGUGUCCAGGCACAGCGUGGCUGGCAGCCUGAUGUGGGGGAGGGACUGGUGAAAGUAGUGGUGGGCGAGCUGGGCACAGUUGUGGUUGUUGUUGGUUGUAUUGAUUGUGUGUACUCUCAUGGUACUAGGAAGGGAGGGCGUCUC
rnacentral:lncRNA from 1 species